AUUGAAAGCUGGCGGCAUGCCUUACACAUGCAAGUCGAACGGCAGCACGGGGCAACCUGGUGGCGAGUGGCGAACGGGUGAGUAAUGCAUCGGAGCGUACCUUUCAGUGGGGGAUAACGUAGCGAAAGGUACGCUAAUACCGCAUAUUCUGUGAGCAGUAAAGCAGGGGAUCGCAAGACCUUGCGCUGAUUGAGCGGCCGAUGUCAGAUUAGCUAGUGGGGGAGGUAAAGGCUCACCAAGGCGACGAUCUGUAGCGGGUCUGAGAGGAUGAUCCGCCACACUGGAACUGAGCCACGGUCCAGACCCCUACGGGAGGCAGCAGUGGGGAAUUUUGGACAAUGGGGGCAACCCUGAUCCAGACAUGCCGCGUGAGUGAAGAAGGCCUUCGGGUUGUAAAGCUCUUUCGGACGGGAAGAAAUCGCACGGGCUAAUACCCUGUGUGGAUGACGGUACCGGAAUAAGAAGCACCGGUUAACUACGUGCCAGCCGCCGCCGUAAAAC
rnacentral:rRNA from 1 species